AACGAACGCUGGCGGCAUGCCUAACACAUGCAAGUCGAACGAGACCUUCGGGUCUAGUGGCGCACGGGUGCGUAACGCGUGGGAACCUGCCCUUAGGUUCGGAAUAACUCCCCGAAAGGGGUGCUAAUACCGGAUAAUGUCUUCGGACCAAAGAUUUAUCGCCUUUGGAUGGGCCCGCGUUGGAUUAGCUAGUUGGUAGGGUAAAAGCCUACCAAGGCGACGAUCCAUAGCUGGUCUGAGAGGAUGAUCAGCCACACUGGGACUGAGACACGGCCCAGACUCCUACGGGAGGCAGCAGUGGGGAAUAUUGGACAAUGGGCGAAAGCCUGAUCCAGCAAUGCCGCGUGAGUGAUGAAGGCCUUAGGGUUGGAAAGCUCUCUUACCCGGGAUGAUAAUGACAGUACCGGGAGAAUAAGCUCCGGCUAACUCCGUG
rnacentral:rRNA from 1 species